rnacentral:rRNA from 1 species
AUCAACUUUCGAUUGGUAGGAUAGAGGCCUACCNNNGUGGUAACGGGUAACGGGGUGUUAGGGCACGACACCGGAGAGGGAGCCUGAGAAACGGCUACCACAUCCAAGGAUGGCAGCAGGCGCGCAAAUUACCCAAUCCCGACACGGGGAGGUAGUGACAAUAAAUAACAAUACGGGGUUCUUUCGGAUCUCGUAAUUGGAAUGAGUACAAUUUAAAUCUCUUAACGAGGAACAAUUGGAGGGCAAGUCUGGUGCCAGCAGCCGCGGUAAUUCCAGCUCCAAUAGCGUAUAUUAAAGUUGUUGCAGUUAAAAAGCUCGUAGUUGAAUUUCGGGGUUAGUAGGUUGGUCAUGCCUCUGGUAUGUACUGGUCUCACUGAUUCCUCCUUCCUUAUGAACCGUAAUGCCAUUAAUUUGGUGUUGCGGGGAAUUUGGACUGUUACUUUGAAAAAAUUAGAGUGUUUAAAGCAGGCUAACGCUUGAAUACAUUAGCAUGGAAUAAUGAAAUAGGACGUUCGAUCUUAUUUUGUUGGUUUCUAGGAUUGACGUAAUGAUUAAUAGGGAUAGUUGGGGGCAUUAGUAUUCAAUUGUCAGAGGUGAAAUUCUUGGAUUUAUUGAAGACUAACUACUGCGAAAGCAUUUGCCAAGGAUGUUUUCAUUAAUCAAGAACGAAAGUUAGGGGAUCGAAGACGAUCAGAUACCGUCGUAGUCUUAACCAUAAACUAUGCCGACUAGGGAUCGGAUGAUGUUAAUUUUUUAAUGACUCAUUCGGCGCCUUACGGGAAACCAAAGUGUUUGGGUUC